rnacentral:rRNA from 1 species
GACGAACGCUGGCGGCGUGCCUAAUACAUGCAAGUCGAACGAGUGGCGGACGGGUGAGUAACACGUGGGAACCUACCCAUCAGAGGGGGAUAACACUUGGAAACAGGUGCUCAUACCGCAUAUUCUUCGAGCGUCCGUUGUCUGAUUAGCUGGUGGGCGGGGUAAAGGCCCACCAAGUCGACGAUCAGUAGCGGGUCUGAGAGGAUGACCAGCCACACGGGAACUGAGACACGGUCCAGACUCCUACGGGAGGCAGCAGUGGGGAAUAUUGCACAAUGGGCGCAAGCCUGAUGCAGCCAUGCCGCGUGUGUGAAGAAGGCCUUCGGGUUGUAAAGCACUUUCAGCGGGGAGGCGUUACCCGCAGAAGAAGCACCGGCUAACUCCGUGCCAGCAGCCGCGGUAAUAC